rnacentral:rRNA from 1 species
CACCAGCUCUUCAAGUGGUUGGGACUUUUAUUGGGCUUAAAGCGUCCGUAGCCUGUUUGAUAAGUUCCUGGUUAAAUCCGGCAGCCUAACUGUUGGUCUGCUAGGAAUACUGUCUUACUAGAGGGCGGGAAAGGUCAGGGGUACUCCGGGGGGAGCGGUGAAAUGAGAUAAUCCUCGGGGGACCACCAGUGGCGAAGGCGCCUGACUGGAACGCGCCUGACGGUGAGGGACGAAAGGUAGGGGAACGAACGGGAUUAGAUACCCCGGUAGUCCUACCCGUAAACGAUGCGCUCUAGAUGUCGGUUCUGCUCCGAGCAGUGCCGGUGCCACAGGGAAACCGUUAAGAGCGCCGCCUGGGAAGUACGCUCGCAAGAGUGAAACUUAAAGGAAUUGACGGGGGAGCACCACAAGGGGUGAAGCCUGCGGUUU